GACGGAGGAUGCAAGCGUUAUCCGGCCUUAUUGGGCGUAAAGCGUCCGUCGGUGGCCUAUCAAGUCUGCUGUUAAAUCCCAGGGCUCAACUCUGGAUCAGCAGUGGAAACUGAUAAGCUAGAGUGCGGUAGGGGCAGAGGGAAUUCCCGGUGUAGCGGUGAAAUGCGUAGAUAUCGGGAAGAACACCAGUGGCGAAGGCGCUCUGCUGGGCCGUAACUGACACUCAGGGACGAAAGCUAGGGGAGCGAAAGGG
rnacentral:rRNA from 1 species